UUCUCCCUAACCUUUUCUUUCCUUCUUUUCGCUCGAGUUUAAUUCUUGUACGUGAUUCAUUUGGUGUUUGGAUUCCUAAACGGAUAAAUAAAGAGCUAUUGUUUGGUCCGCUGCCCUGCAGAAGGUGAGUGUACUCGGACCCUCCUUCUUCUUUGAUUAAUUGUGUUGUUUCGUGUAUAUGAUGUCUUCUCUGUUGAUUAGCUUUCGUAUGCAGUUCAUAUCAGUAGCUUAUGUUUGUGUUUAUUGUAUUCUUCCUUCACAUGUUAUUCUUGUUAAUUGAAUCAAUUAUCUCCUGAUAAGUUAUGAUUGCGUCGGUGUUGCUAGCUAAUUUCUACUGUUAAUAAACUUAAUUUCUCAUAAUUUGGAUAGAUAACAAAUGCCUUCUUAAUGACUAAUGCCUCUUUCGAAUGAAUCCUAUCUUGAGGCCUUAAGUUAAUGUUAUAUAUGCCUUGUCAGUUUAAAUAACAACUGUACUAUUGUGUUUGCUAACCUAAUUGAACUAUGCUUUUAGACCUUUCCUAUUGUCUUGGUAAGAGUUCUUCUGCUGCAGUAUGCUAUAGUGAUCCCUUAUUUGUAAUAUUAUAACAUGCCGUUGAUUAAAUGAAAGAGAUCCUCACCAUAGUUCAUGACUUACACUAGACUUAAUGAUCUAAAUUGAACAGUGUAGAACCAUGACUAUUAUAUGAACCUUGUAAUAGUGACCAUCUAGAACUUCAUUAUAGGCUGGUUGGAUAACCCCUAUUAAUCUUUAUGCUUGAAAUCCAUUAGUUUCAAUAGGCUUAAAUUGGGUGCGAUUUGUUUUUUUGAUGUUGUUUGAUGUAAUUUGAGGCUUUGACUAGGUUCGUAUGAUGUUUUGGGAUGUGUUGGUAUGUAUGGAUAGGGUCUCAGGGGCCUCGAGUGAAUUACGGAUGGCUAACGGAUCAAAAAUUAGAAUUAAUGCAUUGCUGAAGAAUUUAGGUUGCUGGUGUAAUCGCAUCUGCGAUGGGCUUGACCGCAGAUGCGGCUGGAGUGUCUCAGGUGCGGAAGGGGCCUGGCUUGGGGAUUUUCGCAGAAUCAAGCUGGGUUCCGCAGAAGCGAAGUCUCUUCUGUGAUGGUUGUUUCGCAAAAGCAAAGUUUGGUGUGAUAUGCAGGAAACGCAAAUGCGGAUGGUUCUCGCAAGUGCGGGCGCGCAGAAACACUUGGUAGACCGCAGAAGCGGACCUGCAGAAGCAGGAUUUUGGCCGUAGAAGCGGCAGGUCUGUAUUUAAGUCAUCUUCGGAAAAGCAAGAUUUUGUCUGCAAAAGCAGAACCCCAGGUGCGGUAAUGUAGGCCGCAGAAACGAAAUCGCUGGCAGUGUGUUAAAAAUGAGGGUUUGAGUGUUUUUCUCAUUUUUGGGAUUUUGAAGUUCUGUCUAGGGAGAUUUUUAGAGAGGGUUCCACCUAAUUGGAAGAGGUAAGUGACUUUUAUUUACUUUUGUCCAUAAAUAUUGAAUACCCAUUGAUUAUUUCGCCUAUAUAUCAUAAAUCUAAGUUAGAAUUGGGGGAUUUUGGGACUAUGUUAUUGGAGAGUAAAAUUUGUGGAUUUGAGGGGCGAUUUAUGGUGGGAAUUGGAUGAUUUUGGUAUGGUUGGACUCGUAAUUUAAUGGGUGUUCGGAAUUUAUGAAUUUUAUCGGAUUCCGAGGUGCGGGCCCAGAGUUAACUUUUUUGAGUUGACUUUUGAUUUGAGUUAACGACCUUAGCUAUAUCUUUUGGAUUCACUUCUAUGGCUUUUAUUGAUAGCAUUAUGUUAUUUUGACUAGAUUCAAGUCUUUCGAAGGUUGAUACGCGCGGUAAAGGGUUGUUAGCGGAGUGAUUUGGUUUGCUUGAUGUAAGUAUCUUAUCUAAACUUGGUUGAGGCACUAGUUGCCUGAAUUAUUAUGAUGGUUACAUGCUGUUGGGUGCGCACAUGUUUGGGGUUUGAGCCCAUGUGCUAAUACCUUACCCAUGCUCGAGUUGUGCUUAGACUAUGAUAUGCCUAGAUUUGACUGUUAAGCUUUAAGCUAUGAUAUUUCUCGCAUUUAUAACAUUAUUGUGAACUAUUUAAGCCAUGUUAGAGGCUACUAAAGGUUUAAAUCCCUGAAUGAACUUGAUAAAUACUAUUAUGUGAUGAGAUUUAUCAAUUCGAGCUAUGAUAAUACACUUUGCACAUGCCUACACUUAGCAUGUCACUUUUACCAGUUCAGGAGCAUGAGAUUUGUUAGUUAUUCAUCACGUACAUGUAUUCUUGUUAUUUUCUCUUGUGUGAUAUGAUUGGAAUGGGUGCCCGUGACCACGCCGAGCGAAUUAUGUUGUUAUGCAUGUGACCACGUUGGGCGGAUUGUGUUGUUAUACAUGUGACAACGCCAGGCGGAUUGUAUUGUUAUGCAUGUGACCACGCCGGACAAAUUAUAUUGUUAUGCAUGUGACCACGUUGGCGAAUUGUGUUGUUGUACCUGUGACCACGCAGGGGGGAUUAUGAUAUUAAGCAUGUGAUCACGCCGGGUUGGUAGCACGUUGAAUUGACCAUGCUUGCGUGUGGACAUGAAUCCACCCCCUAGGGUCACCCUCUCAUGUUUCUCUCUUGAUGGUGCACACGCGGAUAUUGAGAAAAUCGGACCAGUGGUUUGGUAUUGAAUUGGAAAGGUUGAGAAAAUCUGUCGAGUGUUUGUUUGAAUUUUGCAUUUCAUAUUCACUUGCAAGUUUCGUAAUUAUUUACCUAAUUUAACUGCAUAUCAUAUUUCUAUGCCGAAUAUUGACUGAGCAGAGUUUUUGACAAACUCCCUACACAUACAUACAUACGUAUGUUUCUUCGUGUGCUUUAUGGCUUGAUUUCAUUACUGCUUUGUACUUGUUAAAUGAUGAAACUGUACAGGUGAUAGCUAGCAUCAUUUAUAAUUUGUGCCUCUUUUACCUCGUCAAGGUUAGCUACGAUAUUUAUUGAGUAUAUUGGGUUGGUUGUACUCAUACUAUACUCUACACUUCGUGUGCAGAUCCAGGUACAUUUGGACGUGGUGAUUGUUAUCUUGGUGCUAGUACCUGCUCGGAGACUUUGAGGUAGCUACUAUGACGCCCGCAAACCUUGACCUCUCCUCCUUUUUAUUUUAUUCAGUACUGCUCUAUUACUCAGACAGUUAUAUUAGAGUUUCAGACUAUGUUGAUGCUUAGUAGGUCAUGUACUCAUUGACAUCAUGUUUUUGGUGGUUGUAGUAUAGAUUCAGCUACUAUUAUCGUAUAUUUAUAAGAUUCUUCCGUUGUUGAGUUUAUUAAUGUAUAUUUUAUUCAAGUGUC
rnacentral:lncRNA from 1 species